UACGAAGGGUGCAAGCGUUACUCGGAAUUACUGGGCGUAAAGCGUGCGUAGGUGGUUGUUUAAGUCUGUUGUGAAAGCCCUGGGCUCAACCUGGGAAUUGCAGUGGAUACUGGGCGACUAGAGUGUGGUAGAGGGUAGUGGAAUUCCCGGUGUAGCGGUGAAAUGCGUAGAUAUCGGGAGGAACAUCAGUGGCGAAGGCGGCUGCCUGGCCCAAUACUGACACUCAGGUGCGACAGCGUGGGGAGCAAACAGG
rnacentral:rRNA from 1 species